rnacentral:rRNA from 1 species
AAAGCCUUUCGGGGUGAGUAGAGCGGCGGACGGGUGAGUAACGCGUAGGAAUCUACCUGGUAGUGGGGGACAACUUGGGGAAACCCAAGCUAAUACCGCAUACGCCCUAAGGGGGAAAGCGGGGGAUCUUCGGACCUCGCGCUAUUGGAUGAGCCUGCGUAGGAUUAGCUUGUUGGUGAGGUAAAGGCUCACCAAGGGGACGAUCCUUAGCUGGUCUGAGAGGAUGAUCAGCCACACUGGAACUGAGACACGGUCCAGACUCCUACGGGAGGGAGCAGUGGGGAAUAUUGCGCAAUGGGGGCAACCCUGACGCAGCCAUGCCGCGUGUGUGAAGAAGGGCUUAGGGUUGUAAAGCACUUUCAUUGGGAAGAAAAGCUGCAGGUUAAUAGCCUGUAGCCCUGACUUACAUUAGAAGAAGCACCGGCUAACUCCGUGCCAGCGCCGCGGUAAUACGGAGGGUGGCGAGCCGUUAAUCGGAAUUACUGGGCGUAAAGGCGCGGCGUAGGCGGUUUGUUAAGUCAGGCUGUGAAAGCCCUGGGCUCAACCUGGGAACUGCAGUUGAUACUGGCCGACUAGAGUACGAGAGAGGGAGGUAGAAUUCCAUGUGUAGCGGUGAAAUGCGUAGAUAUAUGGAGGAAUACCAGUGGCGAAGGCGGCCUCCUGGCUCGAUACUGACGCUGAGGUGCGAAAGCGUGGGGAUCAAACAGGAUUAGAUACCCUGGUAGUCCACGCCGUAAACGAUGUCUACUAGCCGUUGGGAGACUUGAUUUCUUAGUGGCGCAGCUAACGCAAUAAGUAGACCGCCUGGGGAGUACGGCCGCAAGGUUAAAACUCAAAUGAAUUGACGGGGGGCCCGCACAAGCGGUGGAGCAUGUGGUUUAAUUCGAUGCAACGCGAAGAACCUUACCAGGUCUUGACAUCCCUGAAACUUUCUAGAGAUAGAUUGGUCCCUUCGGGAAUCAGGUGACAGGUGCGCAUGGCGUCGUCACCUCGCGUCGGAGAGUUGGUUAAGUCCCGUAACCAGCCCAACCCUGUCCUUAUUUCCCACCACGUAAUGGGGGAACUCUAAGGGACUCCCGGUGACAAACCGAGGAAGUGGGGAGACGUCAAGUCAUCAUGGCCCUUACGACCUGGGCUACACACGUGCUACAAUGGAACGCACAGAGGGCUCCAAAGGCCCGAGCUGGAGCGAAUCCCACAAAACGUUUCGUAGUCCGGAUUGGAGUCUGCAACUCGACUCCAUGAAGUCGGAAUCGCUAGUAAUCGUGAAUCAGAAUGUCACGGUGAAUACGUUCCCGGCCCUUGUACACACCCCCCGUCACACCAUGGGAGUGGGUUCCAAAAGAAGUGGGUAGACUAACCUUCGGGAGGUCGCUCACCACUUUGUGAUUCAUG